GUGGAUGGGGCGUUCCCCAAUCUUUUUCGCGACGUCGACCCAGUCAGACAGAAGGCUUUCGAUGAUUGGUUCAAAUCCCUUAAGUCCGAAGAUAGUUAUACCAUCGGCUGUAUGACCGUGCCCAAUGCUAAAAAGUGGUUUGAAGAUGUACUGACGACCUCAGCUUGGCUCGCUGAUGAUCAUAUCGACUUGGUUAUGAAAUUGUUACGCGAUC